rnacentral:tRNA from 1 species
GCACCAGUGCCCGAGUGGUCUAAGGGGAAAGUCUUAAGAUCUUUUGUAUUCGUACGCGUGGGUUCGAACCCCACCUGGUGUA